rnacentral:rRNA from 1 species
CAGCAGCCGCGGUAAUACGAAGGGGGCUAGCGUUGCUCGGAAUUAUUGGGCGUAAAGGGCGCGUAGGCGGUUUGGCAAGUUUGGUGUGAAAUCUUCGGGCUCAACUCGAAGUCUGCAUCGAAAACUGCCGGGCUUGAGUAUGGGAGAGGUGAGUGGAAUUUCCGGUGUAGCGGUGAAAUGCGUAGAUAUCGGAAGGAACACCUGUGGCGAAAGCGGCUCACUGGACCAUUACUGACGCUGAGGCGCGAAAGCUAGGGGAGCAAACAGGAUUAGAUACCCCCGUAGUCCCUGUCUCUUAUAC